rnacentral:rRNA from 1 species
AUUGAACGCUGGCGGCAUGCCUUACACAUGCAAGUCGAACGGCAGCGGGGGAGAAGCUUGCUUUUCCUGCCGGCGAGUGGCGAACGGGUGAGUAAUACAUCGGAACGUGCCCUGUAGUGGGGGAUAACUAGUCGAAAGAUUAGCUAAUACCGCAUACGACCUGAGGGUGAAAGUGGGGGACCGCAAGGCCUCAUGCUAUAGGAGCGGCCGAUGUCUGAUUAGCUAGUUGGUGGGGGAAAGGCCUACCAAGGCGACGAUCAGUAGCUGGUCUGAGAGGACGAUCAGCCACACUGGGACUGAGACACGGCCCAGACUCCUACGGGAGGCAGCAGUGGGGAAUUUUGGACAAUGGGCGAAAGCCUGAUCCAGCAAUGCCGCGUGUGUGAAGAAGGCCUUCGGGUUGUAAAGCCCUUUUGUCCGGAAAGAAAUGGCUCUGGUUAAUACCUGGGGUCGAUGACGGUACCGGAAGAAUAAGGACCGGCUAACUACGUGCCAGCCGCCGCAGUAA